ACCAUGCUGAAUAUACCGGUUCUCGUUAGAUCACCGAAGUUAAGCAUCAUUGGGCGCGGUCAGUACUUGGGUGGGUGACCACCUGGGAACACCGCGUGCCGUU
rnacentral:rRNA from 1 species